CAGGACUUUUGAGCUGCACAAAGAAUACAUUUUUUCAAAGUAUGUUUGAUUAAAAAUAAAAAUUUUAAAUGCAGACAUAGCACCCACCUCCUCCUAGAUUUGCCUGUUGUUCAGUUUUAAUGCAUAAGCUGCCAGCAACUCAAAAGAAGGGUUUAUAUAUACACAGCUUAAUCACUGUUGUAAUCUUACACAACAUUACAACAGCCAUUAAAAUGUUCUUUUGCAAACAGUGUUAUGGUAACUUGCUAAAAUGCCAGUUUGUCUUGUACCAUCAGCAAUAAGAGGUACAUAAAAACACCCAAGAAGUUGUGACAAGUGUGGGUCUGACAAUUAACAACAAUUGCAGAAAUUUAAUGAUUGUACCUGAGACUUAGAAUGCAGUGAGGUGCUUACCACAUCUCAAACAACCUGCAGUGCAGUGGUGUUUCUUGAAAAAAAAAAAAUCAUUCACCCUCCUCCUUGAAGUGCUUGUUCACUUUUCCUGAGGAGACAGAAAUAACAUCAGAACCACAUCUACCAGGGACUUUAGGUAGGCUGUAGCAACUAUUAGUGAUUUCUGCUGCAGUUGUAUGACAACAGAGCUCCUCAGUAUUUCCCCAGAGAAAAUCAUCUUCCAGGCUAAGAAUUGUGAGAACUCAGAAAAGGGGUAGAAUCCCUUAGGGACUGUAUAAAUCUUCCUUAUGUGCCUAGAGCACUGCUAAGGCACUGUACACGAGAACUGAACUAUGCCAAAACACACAACCAAUCCUUAGAGGUAUACUGACCCUUUUUCUGUCUAGAAACAUUGCUAGCCCUCACUGUUCAGACUGACAGUGCUUCACUACUUGGACUAGUCCUACAACAAUUAGUCCUUCAGAACAAAAAGAUAAAAACAAGGGAACUAGAUGGACGUACCAAGAUUUACUGCAGUAUUCCCAUUUCCUUCUUGGAAAAAAUCCAAAAAUGCCAAAAUGCCUCCUCAGCAGACAGAGCUGGGAUGGAAAAGGUUACAUCAGGUACAAAGUCAAAAAGACUUUUAUUUUCAGUGAUUGUAAGUUUAUGGACAAUUCUCUUUUUCCCCCCUCCUUUAGAAGAGAGGAGCUGUUCCUUCCCACAGCAAGGGAAAUGGCAGAGAAAGGAAAUCUACUCAAAUAAAUAGCUGUCAUUGUCCCCUGUCUCCAUGGGAAGGAGGACCUGCAAAUAGCUGUGACAAUCCCUUGUCCCCGUGGGAGGAAGAGCCUUGCAAGAUUUGCUAUCCAAAAUAAAGUCCCUGGAUCGGUAGGUAAGGGUCCCAAUGACUGUGCACUGUUGUUAAGUUUAACUUCACAUCACCAGGUUAUUACUGGAAUUUUCAAAGUAAAAACUACAUUACACAUCACAGUGUUUUAAGGAAACAAAAUACAAGGUGCUUUAGUCAAAUGUUAUAUACAGAUUUUACAAAGGAAAGAAAACUUUGCUUAAAAAUUUAACUUUUACUAUUGUUUUAAGUAAGUGGAUAAAUACCUAUUGGUAAAAAAAUACAUGAGUGAAGAAGAAAUUCUCACCCAAGAUUCAACAUCAUGCUACUCAUGGUACACAUUAAGGUUUAUAGUGUAAACACUAGGAAAAAUUCACUUGCUUUGACAACUGCAGAGCAAAAUGAUUUUCUAAGGGACAUAACUCCUCAGAUUGAAGUUAAUUUUAUCCUAAUUAAUUAUACUUUGUUACCAAUUUAAAUCCUGCCCUAGAACAUUGAGUUUACUACGCUGCCUUGAAUGUAUGUGAUGGACAUUAGUAAUUUAUUAGGCUUUUUCAUUAUUUUUGAGGUGUUGUUAAUUACUAUACAUACAGAUUUUUCCUUCUGCUAUUACAAUGUCUGUGUGUGGCACUGCUUGUGUACCAUCCCAUUCUACUCUCAGCUUUAUACUGGAAUAUUUGCAUUUAUGGAAAAUUUGACCCUUUUUACUACAUUUCUGAGACCUGCAAGAGAAUUUUUCUGUCAGCUCCAAUCUGUUACAAGAAUAAAAUUUGCUGUGGCCAACACUGUAUUUAUUUAAAAAUUAUCUGAUGAUACCAAAAUCUUAGUACACAAAAGGCAUGUGGCUAUACUGUGGUAGGGAACAGCAGCUCUGAAGGGACUGCAAUACAUUCAAACAUUUGGGACAGAACAGAUUCCAUUACCAGCAAGGCCACUGUACUUGGUCCCCACUCCAUAUUUUGUAUACACUGAAUCUGCUCAGAAAGAUCACAGAGAAGGCAAAGAGAGAGAACAAUCAGGGUCUGCACCUCUAUUCCCACGGAGCUGUUUGGAAAACCUCUAUUCUUGGAAGUAGCAAAAUAAAAACCAAGCAUAUCCCUGAGUGAUGCCAAAUACCCACCAACAUAACUAAACUGAUAAUAGUUUGGCAUUUUGAAGUAAAAGUUAGUUAGCAAGACUGCUAAAAGUCAGCUCUUUAGUAUUUAUGUUUCACUAUUUCAAGGGGAGAAAAAAAAAAAAGAAAAUCAACAGCACACAUACCGAGGUGUUCAGACUUAGAAUCUCCAUAUUGUCCUUCACAAAUGUGGUGAGAUCAAGUAAUACCUACUUUCUUUUAAAAAUAACACAAGUAAAAUUCAAGUAUAUUGAAAGCACAUCAAGAAACAAACUGUACAAUUUCUGAACUGCACUGUUUAUUUUGCUGCUUGAAACCUAAGUGACAGUAUGCCACUAUAAUUAUGGGGUUUCUUCUAAACCUUUACUACACUGCAGGUACAGAAAUAUAUGGACACAUUUUUGGAGAAUUGACAUUUUGCAAAAUGCAGCAAACAUUUCAAUUUAUACAU